CAAACCAACCUUGACAUGAAGGGGAUGUCUGGCAUUGAGGAUAACAGCUUCCUUGAUAGGGGCAAACGAAGAGAAGACUAUUGACAGAAGACAUAUUUAAAGAUGACAAGUCCUGUAAAUUUUAUACAGGACUAUCACUGGCUUUGUUUGCAGUUACAUGCAUCUUCAAUGUGUUGAAGUUAAAGGCAUCCUAAAUGGUAUACUGGAACAUCACCUAGACAAAUGAACGUCAGGAUUCCAAGAAUUUCCCAUAAUUACAAACUCCUAGAAGAGGGCCAAUACGCUUGUUGUCACUGAAGGAAGAGUUCACUCUUACCUUGUUACGAGUACGUAGAGGAUUUGACACCAAGUCCCUGAGUGAUAUGUUUGCCAUUUCUUAAAGUUCUGUGUGUCGAAUAUUCACUACCUGGUUGUGUCUGAUGAACAUCGACCUUAGCUUUUUAAUUAAGUGGCCUUCCAAAGAACAAAUCAUGGAGAAUAUACCUAAAUGCUUUAAACAUUAAAAAAAAACAAGAUGUAUAAUAGACUGCACAGAAUGUUUUUGUACAAAAACCUA